GCCUCCUGGUGGGCCUCUCCGGGGGUCUUUUGGAGGAAGGCUGACAGUCUUUCUCACCUUGUACUUUUCCGUGGAGCACACGCAGAUUCUCUUAGCCUAUUUCUUGAACAACAAAAUUGUUUUUCAGACGGUUUACUUUCUGUCUUAUGUAAGUGAACCGAUAGAACUUCUACCA